rnacentral:rRNA from 1 species
UACGGGGGGGGCAAGCGUUGUUCGGAAUUACUGGGCGUAAAGGGCUCGUAGGCGGCCAACUAAGUCGGACGUGAAAUCCCCAGGCUCAACCUGGGAACUGCGUCCGAUACUGGAUGGCUUGAAUCCGGGAGAGGGAUGCAGAAUUCCAGGUGUAGCGGUGAAAUGCGUAGAUAUCUGGAGGAAUACCGGUGGUGAAGGCGGCAUCCUGGACCGGCAUUGACGCUGAGGAGCGAAAAGCCAGGGGAGCAAACGGG